GAGCGCGUAGCUCAGCCGGUAGAGCAUCUGACUUUUAAUCAGGGGUCCUGGGUUCGAGUCCCAGCGCGCUCACCA
rnacentral:tRNA from 1 species